rnacentral:misc_RNA from 1 species
AAUUAUCAACUUCAUAGUUUCAUUAUUAUGAGGCUUGGACUUGGAAGCUGCUGGCUUUGUUCGGCUCUUCUCAAAUACAUUAGCUGCUUGUCCGUGGGUUGGCUCAGAGUGUGAUAAUUAUCUGCACUUGGUGGCUGCCUGCAAGGAUGUGGCUUCUAGUCGUCUUCGGACAAUUCUUAAG